AGCUGGGCUAGCUUGGAUGGCUCGGCGUCAUCUGUAACCCAAAAACGUCGAUAGGUGGGGAGCGAAGCAGAAGGAAGGCAUUUUGACAGUUUGACCAUCUAACAAUUCAGACGAUGAAAUUCCGUCCUGUGGGGUCAACGGCAGCGUACCAUUGAUUGGAGAACCAAUGAUAUGCGCUUACCGUGAGCACCGGUUCAGGCCCGGAAGGGAGCAAACCUAUUGCGGACGCGUGACGCUCGCAGGGGUGCGGAAUAGAGAAUGAGUUGGGAGCUCUGACAAGCUGCUAGGUGACGACCUUUCUGUACGCCCGACA
rnacentral:SRP_RNA from 1 species